rnacentral:rRNA from 1 species
UACGUAGGGUGCAAGCGUUAAUCGGAAUUACUGGGCGUAAAGCGUGCGCAGGCGGUUUUGUAAGUUUGUCGUGAAAGCCCCGGGCUCAACCUGGGAAUGGCGAUGAAGACCGCAAGGCUUGAAUCUGGCAGAGGGGGGUAGAAUUCCACGUGUAGCAGUGAAAUGCGUAGAGAUGUGGAGGAACACCGAUGGCGAAGGCAGCCCCCUGGGUCAAGAUUGACGCUCAUGCACGAAAGCGUGGGGAGCAAACAGG